rnacentral:ncRNA from 1 species
ACAGUUUUGGUCCUGAGCUAACCGUUCUUUUUUAUUAAGAUUAUACAUGCAAGCCUCAGCACACCAGUGAAAAUGCCCACAACCCCUUAAAAGACAUAUUGGAGCCGGCAUCAGGCACUACAUUAAGCCCAUAACGCCUUGCUACGCCACACCCCCACGGGUUCAUCAGCAGUAAUAAACAUUGGGCUAUAAGUGAAAACUUGACCCAACUAUAAUAUAUUAGGGCUGGUCAAUUUCGUGCCAGCCACCGCGGUUAUACGAAAGGCCCAAAAUAACGGCUAACGGCGUAAAAUGUGACUAGAGAUUCCAUAACAUUAAAAAUAUUAUAAACCUAUAACCUAGUUGUAAAAUACAUAGAUAUUAAAGGAAAACAAUAUUAUAUAUUUUUAAUAUUAUAUUCUUGACCACACGAAAGCUUAGAAACAAACUAGGAUUAAAUACCCUACUAUACUAAGCCCUUAACAUUGAUAGUAUUAUACAACCUUUCCGCCAGAGAACUACAAGUGAAAAACUUAAAACUCAAAGGACAUGACGGUGUCCCAUACCGACCUAGAGGAGCCUGUCCUAUAAUCGAUACUCCCCGCUCCACCCAACCCCAACUAGCAUACCCCAGCCUAUAUACCGCCGUCGAUCAGCCUACCCUAUGAAAGUCCAAUAGUAGACACAAUAGCCCAAUCGCUAAUACGUCAGGUCAAGGUGUAGCAAAUGUUGUGGAAGAGAUUGGCUACAUUUUUUAUUAUAAAAAAUACGAAAAAUACUAUGAAACAGUAUAUGAAGGUGAAUUUAGUAGUAAAAUAAACAAGAGUGCUUAUUUUAACAACGCUCUGGGACGCGUACACACCGCCCGUCACCCUCCUCAACUAACCAAACUUUACCCUUUAUAAAUCAACAAAAGUUAUAUUAGAGGAGGUAAGUCGUAACAUGGUAAGCGUACCGGAAGGUGUGCUUGGAUUAA